rnacentral:rRNA from 1 species
UGAGGAAUAUUGCACAAUGGGCGCAAGCCUGAUGCAGCAACGCCGCGUGCGGGACGAAGGCCUUCGGGUCGUAAACCGCUUUUCUGGGGGAAGAGCAAGGACGGUACCUCAGGAAUAAGUCUCGGCUAACUACGUGCCAGCAGCCGCGGUACUACGUAGGGAGCAAGCGUUGUUCGGAUUUACUGGGCGUACAGGGCGCGUAGGCGGCGCGGUAAGUCACUUGUGAAAUCUCUGAGCUUAACUCAGAACGGCCAAGUGAUACUGCUGUGCUAGAGUGCGGAAGAGGCAACCGGAAUUCUUGGUGUAGCGGUGAAAUGCGUAGAUAUCAAGAGGAACACCUGAGGCGAAGGCGGGUUGCUGGGCCGACACUGACGCUGAUGCGCGAAAGCCAGGGGGGCAAACG